rnacentral:rRNA from 1 species
UACGUAGGGUGCAAGCGUUAAUCGGAAUUACUGGGCGUAAAGCGUGCGCAGGCGGUUAUGCAAGACAGAGGUGAAAUCCCCGGGCUCAACCUGGGAACUGCCUUUGUGACUGCAUAGCUAGAGUGCGGCAGAGGGGGAUGGAAUUCCGCGUGUAGCAGUGAAAUGCGUAGAUAUGCGGAGGAACACCGAUGGCGAAGGCAGCCUUCUGGGCCAACACUGACGCUCAUGCACGAAAGCGUGGGGAGCAAACAGG